rnacentral:rRNA from 1 species
GACCUCGGAUCAGGUAGGGAUACCCGCUGAACUUAAGCAUAUCAAUAAGCGGAGGAAAAGAAACCAACAGGGAUUGCCUCAGUAACGGCGAGUGAAGCGGCAACAGCUCAAAUUUGAAAUCUGGCUCUUUCAGGGUCCGAGUUGUAAUUUGUAGAAGAUGCUUUGGGUGUAGCUCCGGUCUAAGUUCCUUGGAACAGGACGUCAUAGAGGGUGAGAAUCCCGUAUGUGACUGGGUGCUUUCGCUCGUGUAAAGCUCUUUCGACGAGUCGAGUUGUUUGGGAAUGCAGCUCAAAAUGGGUGGUAAAUUUCAUCUAAAGCUAAAUAUUGGCCAGAGACCGAUAGCGCACAAGUAGAGUGAUCGAAAGGUGAAAAGCACUUUGGAAAGAGAGUUAAACAGUACGUGAAAUUGUUGAAAGGGAAGCGCUUGCAACCAG